ACUCAAAUGAAUUGACGGGGGCCCGCACAAGCGGUGGAUCAUGUGGUUUAAUUCGAAGCAACGCGAAGAACCUUACCUGGGUUUGACAUCUCCGGACAGCUGUAGAGAUACAGUCUUCGUAGCAAUACGACCGGAUGACAGGUGCUGCAUGGCUGUCGUCAGCUCGUGUGGUGACAUGUUGGGUUAAGUCCCGCAACGAGCGCAACCCUUGUCCUUAGUUGCCAGCAUUCAGUUGGGCUCUCUAAGGAGACUGCCGUGGUUAACACGGAGGAAGGUGGGGAUGACGUCAAGUCCUCAUGGCCUUUAUAUCCAGGGCGACACACGUGAUACAAUGGACGAUACAGAGGGACGCGAAACCGCGAGGUGGAGCUAAUCUCAAAAAGUCGUUCUCAGUUCGGAUUGGAGUCUGCAACUCGACUCCAUGAAGUUGGAAUCGCUAGUAAUCGCGGAUCAGCACGCCGCGGUGAAUACGUUCCCGGGCCUUGUACACACCGCCCGU
rnacentral:rRNA from 1 species